rnacentral:rRNA from 1 species
AUGAACAACCUUAUCACUGAUACUUUUCACCUUAAUGUUCGUUCACAUAUUCUUAAUACCUCUGAAUCUUACGUCCUUUGUGAGAAUGAAGCCAAGGAUGCCAAGGAAGUUGUGAUGGUUGAGGAUGAUGAAUUGCCAAAAUCAUCCAGGAAGAGGAAACACUCUGAUGUGUGGGAUCACUUUGAGGAGGUUGAGGUGCUUUCAAAGAAGAAAAAAGGUGAAACAGAGAGAAAAGUUAAGUGCAAGGCUUGCAGCAAACUGUACAUGUACCCGAAGACUGGAACUACAACUACAAUGAAGAGGCAUCUGGAUGGCUGCUUUGCACAUCAUGGUGAGGAGAACAUCAAAAAAGGUCAUGGCACUCUGAAUUUUGAUGCGGCUGAUGCAUGUGGUAUUGAUCUUCCAGUAGUCAAUUUCUCUGGUGGCUAUGAUCAUGCAAAAAUUCGUGAGCUUAUUGCUACAAUGAUAAUUGUCCAUGAGUACCCUUUCCGCAUGGUCGAGCAUUUCUGGUUCAAUGUGUUGAUGAAGACUUUGAAUCCUUCUUAUCAGAAGACAUCAAGAACCACCAUCAAAAAUGAAUGUUUGCAGAUUUUUAAGUCCCGAAAGGAAACACUGAAGAAGGAACUUAAGCAUGUUGGAAAAAUUAGCCUCACAUGUGAUCUCUGGACCUCUAACCAAACUCUCUGUUAUAUGAGCUUGGUGGCACACUAUAUUGAUUCAGAAUGGAAUAUGCAGUACCGUGUGAUUAGUUUUCUUGAACUGGAGCCACCACACACAGGUAUUGUGAUAUCUCAGGCUAUAUUUGAGUGCCUUUCUGAUUGGAAGAUUGAAGACAAAAUUGCAACUAUAACUCUUGAUAAUGCUUCUUCCAAUGACGUGGCUGCUUGUCAACUGAUGUCCAAGUUUAAGGCCAAAGGAAGUGUGUUUUUCCAUGGUAAAUUUUUUCAUGGCAGAUGCUCUGCUCAUAUACUCAACCUUUUAAACAUCAGGCAAACUGUUAAGUAUUUGAAGAAAUCUCCAUCUCGGCUCUACAAAUUUACUGAGAUUGUCAAGUCACUUAACAUGUCAACCAAGAGGGGGUUGUGUCUUGAUGUUCCAACUAGAUGGGGAUCCACAUACAAGAUGCUUGAGCGUGCCUUUUCUUUCAAAAAUACAUUUUUACAUUAUGCAGAUUUGGAUGCCAAUUAUAAGUGGGAGCCAUCUAGUCAAGAGUGGAGGUUGUAUGCUAAAAUAAGGGAUAUUUUAGCAGUGUUGAGCAUGGCGACCACUGUGUUUUCUGGAUCAACCUAUCCUACAGCUAAUGAGUUCUUUCUUCUAAUUGUGAAUGUUAAGAAGGUCCUCAAUGAUGCAUCUGUCUCUACAGAUAAAUUCUUGCAUGAUAUGGGAAAUGCUAUGCUUCAGAAAUUUGAGAAGUAUUGGAAAGAGUGCAGUACUUUGCUGUCAAUAGCGUCAAUUCUGGAUCCAAGGUACAAGAUGGAUCUAAUUAAUUUCUGUUUUCCCAAGAUAUAUGUUGCUAGUGACAUUGAACACAACAUUGACUCAGUAAGUUCAACACUGAAGGAGUUGUAUGAACAUUAUGAGAGUGAACACACAGCCAACUUGGUUGCAGCAGAAAAGAAAGUGGAUAAUCAGGCCGUCGCUUCAGAAAAUGGGACAUCAAGCAAUAGUCUCAUGGCAAUUUCAACUCAGUUUCGUACCUUCAUGAAGACUACUGCUAAAAAGGUUUCCAAGUCAGAUCUAGUUGCAUACUUAGAUGAGGCUGCACUUAAUCAUUCAGAAGACUUUGAUGUGCUACUUUGGUGGAAGCAAAAUUCAUCAAGGUAUCCAAUACUAUCCAAGGUUGCGAAAGAUAUUCUUACUGUGCCAGUCAGUACUGUUUCUUCGGAAUCAUCAUUUAGUACUGGAGGCAGAGUGCUUGAUAAUUAUAGAAGCUCUUUACUCCCAAAUACUGUUGAGGCUUUGGUAUGUUCAGCUAGUUGGAUUAGAGGCUCCCAAAAGAAAAAGAAAGCUAACAAGGUGAGUUCCUGA